CGGACAUGGAAUGAGACAGGAACAGCGUCAGCAUACAAGAAAACAAAGACAAACAACAAUCAAUGCAGAAGCGGGGAACAGAGCUGGGGAACUGACAAAUAUAGGGGAGGUAAUAACAGGUGAUGAGUGAGUCUUGGUGAGUCCAAUAUCGCUGAUGCGCGUGACGAAGGAAGGGAGGGGUGUGUAAUGGAUGAUAGGAGUGCGUGAUGCAGGGCAGCCAGGCGCCCUCAAGCUCCGGGGGGGGGGCGGGAGCAGAUGUGACAGUACCGGCAUCCCACCUGGGCAAAACGGCCGAGACAUGGGCGCUGGGCAAGCCAGUUGGGGCAUGGAAGCCCAAUGAAACGGCAGGAGCGUGAGAGCCUGACACACCGGCUGAGGCAUGGAAGCCCGGUGAUCCGGCUGAGGCAAGACGCCUGUCGAUCCCACUGCAGAGAGGGAGCCCGAAGAUCCGGUGGAGUGUGACAUGGGAUGGGAAGCCGCCGAACCAACCCGAGGCAAGGAAACCUCUCGAGCCAGCCAGGGCGUGAAAGCCUGAUGUGCUGGCUUAGACACCCCUGCUUCCAUCGGUGGUGGAAUCCACCCCAACAUCACCAACUAAACAAAAAACAAACAAACAAAAAAACUCCUGGACCGGCUGGGCGAACAAGAACUGAUGAUCUGGCUGAGGCCCAACGUGGGAUGGGUGCCAUCUGAGCCAACCAGGGAAAGGAAACCUCUCGAGCCAGCUAGGACGUGGGAGCCCGAUGAGCUGGCUAGGCACCCCCGGUUCCAUCGGUGGCGACCCAGAGCCGAUGCCUCCAUACCAACCGGAACGCCAGUACUCCCCGAUGCUUCGUGUGAAGGCUGCUGCAUUCUGUCACGAGUUGACGCUGGAGAGACAAAGCAAGUACGGGGAGUCAAACAUUUAAUAAGGAAUGGACAUGGAACGAGACAGGAACAACGUCAGCAUACAAGAAAACAAAGACAAACAACAAUCAAUGCAGAAGCGGGGAACAGAGCUGGGGAACUGACAAAUAUAGGGGAGGUAAUAACAGGUGAUGAGUGAGUCCAGAUCCUUCCCAAGGUCCCCCUCUCUCUGAACGAAGAGCCUCUUAGGCCCAUUUUGUGACCUCCACCCUCCUUCCAGGUCUGGAUUCCAGAGAGGUAGCCAUAGCCGG
rnacentral:lncRNA from 1 species